AAAAAGUUACGGCACGGGAAAUGUUGACGAACUAGGCACUGUUUUUCAAACAAACAGGGAGAAAUUUGAAAGUUAAGAAUUAUGGAUUGUGUGCUAUACCAGGACAACAAUCUUGGACUCGUGAAGCAGGCUGCAACAUUCAGAGAUUGACGCUUACGUACUUGACCCUCUCACUUCAAGAUAUAGCCAAUACUGUUAAGCUCAACCGUCCUAAAGGAGCUGAAAUGCAUGUGCUACAAAUGUGAGGCAUGCUCAUCUGAAACAAUUUCACAAGACCAAUCCAGCUCAAUUGUUCCGACUAUUUCAAGAUUUAUCUCUUCUUGCAACCAGGAGCAGAUUCUUUUAGCGCCUGAAAAAUGUCUGACAUCAGGUCGAUGAGGAGUACUUAAAGGAGUACUUACUGUAACCGUAAUCACCCGUUGGAGUGAGCAUCCCUUCUCGGACGGCCUCUUUAGGCGUUGCACCGCCAACCCGCCUAAACACUAUCCCGGUCUUCCUCCAUCCCUUGCCUCUGUUCUCAGUGGGUGAAGAUGUGAAGACCGCU